ensembl:lncRNA novel transcript
GCGGCGAAGGCGGCGGCUGUCAGAGCUGGAGGGCCGGGCACCGCGGCCAUGGAGGGUCAACGCUGGCUGCCGCUGGAGGCCAAUCCCGAGGUCACCAACCAGUUUCUUAAACAAUUAGGUCUACAUCCUAACUGGCAAUUCGUUGAUGUAUAUGGAAUGGAUCCUGAACUCCUUAGCAUGGUACCAAGACCAGUCUGUGCAGUCUUACUUCUCUUUCCUAUUACAGAAAAGUAUGAAGUAUUCAGAACAGAAGAGGAAGAAAAAAUAAAAUCUCAGGGACAAGAUGUUACAUCAUCAGUAUAUUUCAUGAAGCAAACAAUCAGCAAUGCCUGUGGAACAAUUGGACUGAUUCAUGCUAUUGCAAACAAUAAAGACAAGAUGCACUUUGAAUCUGGAUCAACCUUGAAAAAAUUCCUGGAGGAAUCUGUGUCAAUGAGCCCUGAAGAACGAGCCAGAUACCUGGAGAACUAUGAUGCCAUCCGAGUUACUCAUGAGACCAGUGCCCAUGAAGGUCAGACUGAGGCACCAAGUAUAGAUGAGAAAGUAGAUCUUCAUUUUAUUGCAUUAGUUCAUGUAGAUGGGCAUCUCUAUGAAUUAGAGAACAGAGCUCGGAGCUCUGGAAAUUUGGAGGCAACUGAUAUGUGCUCAUGUCUGCAUCUGUGUGGGUUGGCUGUAUCUCAGGGACAGAGUCUGCAGCAAAAAAGGCAGUAACAGAGAAGAAUUUUGAAACAAAAGAUUUUCGAGCCUCUCUAGAAAAUGGUGUUCUGCUGUGUGAUUUGAUUAAUAAGCUUAAACCUGGCGUCAUUAAGAAGAUCAAUAGACUGUCUACACCAAUAGCAGGAUUGGAUAAUAUAAACGUUUUCUUGAAAGCUUGUGAACAGAUUGGAUUGAAAGAAGCCCAGCUUUUCCAUCCUGGAGAUCUACAGGAUUUAUCAAAUCGAGUCACUGUCAAGCAAGAAGAGACUGACAGGAGAGUGAAAAAUGUUUUGAUAACAUUGUACUGGCUGGGAAGAAAAGCACAAAGCAACCCGUACUAUAAUGGUCCCCAUCUUAAUUUGAAAGCGUUUGAGAAUCUUUUAGGACAAGCACUGACGAAGGCACUCGAAGACUCCAGCUUCCUGAAAAGAAGUGGCAGGGACAGUGGCUACGGUGACAUCUGGUGUCCUGAACGUGGAGAAUUUCUUGCUCCUCCAAGGCACCAUAAGAGAGAAGAUUCCUUUGAAAGCUUGGACUCUUUGGGCUCGAGGUCAUUGACAAGCUGCUCCUCUGAUAUCACGUUGAGAGGGGGGCGUGAAGGUUUUGAAAGUGACACAGAUUCGGAAUUUACAUUUAAGAUGCAGGAUUAUAAUAAAGAUGAUAUGUCGUAUCGAAGGAUUUCGGCUGUUGAGCCAAAGACUGCGUUACCCUUCAAUCGUUUUUUACCCAACAAAAGUAGACAGCCAUCCUAUGUACCAGCACCUCUGAGAAAGAAAAAGCCAGACAAACAUGAGGAUAACAGAAGAAGUUGGGCAAGCCCGGUUUAUACAGAAGCAGAUGGAACAUUUUCAAGGUACUGAGAUGGGUGUGAUUAUUGAGUUUCGUAUGCUUUUCGAAUAUGGUAGGAUGUUAAAUGUGGUAAAAAGAAUGGCUCUUAAAUGUGUUUCAUAGAUCAUAUAUUAAGCUUGACUAGUGAGAAUAUUUUUCAUCCCUCUAUUUUUAGUUAUACAUAUCUUGAAGCCAUUUCUUCUGUUUUAGAAUGUCAGCAUAUGAUUUGCUAGGUCUUUUUUUAGAUGCAUGACUUCAGUUUAUUGGUAUUUUUCAGCUUACCAGAUAAUUUGUAUUGUUCAUGAUGAGCCAUGCCAUGUAAUGUUUUUCCUUUUUUGAUUGAUCUUAGUGGACAUGAAAAGAAUCCUUUAAUUUCUCAGCAAAUUAGCAGAACAGAGUGUGGUUUUGCAAAUCCAGCUUCCUCUCAUGGGGAGGCGUACGGUUUUGAAAGUGGUUCGGACUCUGAGGAUGAACGAAGGUUUCCUGACAUAGUUUUGGAUGACUUAGCCAACCGUAGAUUCCAAGUGAAAAAGAGGCCCCAGAAUUUCAUCUCGAAAAUCACCUAUCCUAAUUCUUGUCCGCAAAUAUUUUCUCCUGCUGAUAUGUUUGCCAUGGGGCUAUAUGGACUGACGAGGUCAGAAAUACUUGUCCUGGAUCUGGCUGUCUAUUAUGCUGCUGAUUUUAAUUCAGAAAGUAACACCCCAAAUUGUUUGUUAUGUGCCUCUUCCUUUUAACACAGCUUCUAAUGAAGUAUCUUUGGCCCGUGUGUAUCUAGCUAUCCUUGAGUUAAAAUGAGAUGCUGUUAUAAUAACUUUGUCCUAGGAGCUGUGGUGGUGAUGAGAAUGGAAACUAAUUUGCUUUGUUCACAGUGGUGUAAACUUUGUGAACCAGAAAGCAUGCCAUUUGUGUUCUGUGUCACAAAUGCUCAUACAGUGUCUUAACCGGUUGGAUGUUUUGAACAGUAAUCAGAGGAGGAUUUGGGGCACCAAUGUGGAGAACUGGCCAACUGUACAAGGAACUUCAAAGUCCUCUUGUUAUUUGGAAGAGGAAAAAGCAAAGACAAGAAGCAUACCCAACAUUGUAAAGGAUGAUCUUUAUGUGCGCAAGCUCAGUCCAGUCAUGCCAAACCCAGGGAAUGCUUUUGAUCAGUUUCUUCCCAAAUGUUGGACCCCAGAAGAUGUGAACUGGAAAAGAAUAAAAAGGGAAACUUAUAAGCCAUGGUAUAAAGAAUUUCAGGGAUUCAGGUUUGUCGUUGUGCAUGUUUCUGUCACACCAGUGUUCAUUCAGUACCCCAGCUGGGGUUCUAUGUGCAUGUUUUUUAUAAUAAUAAGAGAGACAGAGAAAGUCUAAUUAGUUCUCUAGUAUCUGCGGAACCUAUAUAAUGGAAAUGAAUUUCUGUUUAAAUUUAAACCUGAGGAUCUAGAUCUUAAAAAGCCCUGUUCUAUACAUAGUCAUAGCACGGCAUUAUUUUUAGUAGUUCUGUUUUUCUCCAAUUCUUUGUCUCAUUCCCUCUUCCCUUCUUUUCUUCAUGUCACUCACAGUAGAAGGAAUUCAGACUCUGAGGAUGAGGACUCAGGUUCUGACAGAAGCGCCACCGUUUUUAGUAGAGCACAAAAAGCAGAGCAUAGGCUAGACGGCAACUGCCAAAGACCUUCACUCUUGCUGGAAUUAGCUACCAAACGGGCUGUAAAAUCACCGGACUCCCAUGCAGCCAGGAGAAGCAGUAGUGCUUCGGAUGAGCCCAGGUGCCCCUGUCUGCAUGAGCCUGCCUGCUGCGGGUCUGGCCUCAGACAACCCUCUGCCUGCUUCUGCUGCUCCAUUAGCCUGGGACCUGAUUGCACUGAAUCAGGAAACCUGACUCACUUAGUGGACUUAGUACAAAAGCGUAAUGUAUAACACGCUGCUUUCUGUGCAACUACAUCAGCUUGGAAGUCUGUAGGAUUCAACAUUCUUCUUUAGCACAAUAAUGUGUGAGACAGGAUAUAUUUACAUGUGGCAGUUCUUUUGAAAAGCCGGUUCAAAAAGGCUUGUUAGAAAGUUUACCUAAUUUCACGGUUUUGUUGUGUGUGGAGAUGUGGAAAAAGGAAAUAACUUUCAGGUGGAGACUGGGAAGGGCAAGUCUAGGGAAAAUGCAAAGGGAAGAUUCCUUGAGCUCUUUUAUAAAACUUCAGAGCAAUUUAUUUUCCCUUUUUCCUGCUGAUUACAUAUACCUAUUGCAUAAAGUGCAUGAUGCACAACUUGUGAAACUUUCAAAGAUUAUUCCUUCUUCUUCAGGGGACACUUAGGCCACUGUGGCAAAUGGAAUGAGAAAGGGAUACCAGGGGCCAGGCGGGGUGGCUCACGCCUGUAAUCCCAGCACUUUGGGAGGCCAGGGCAGGUGGAUCACUUGAGGUCAGGAGUUUGAGACCAGCUUGGCUAAAAUGGUGAAACCUUAUCUCUACUAAAUAUACAAAAAUUAGCCAGGCAUGAUAGGGGGCCCCUGUAAUCCCAGCUACUCGGAAGGCUGAGGGAGAUGAAUUGCUUGAACCCAGGAGGCGGAGGUUGCAGUGAGCAGAGAUGGCGCCACUGCACUCAGCCUGGGCGACAGAGUGAGACUCUGUCUCA